UUAGGAAUUUUGGGCAAUGGGCGAAAGCCUGACCCAGCAACGCCGCGUGGGUGAUGAAGGCCUUCGGGUCGUAAAGCCCUUUUUCAGGGGAAGAUAAUGACGGUACCCUGAGAAUAAGCCCCGGCUAACUACGUGCCAGCAGCCGCGGUAAUACGUAGGGGGCAAGCGUUGUCCGGAUUUAUUGGGCGUAAAGCGCGCGUAGGCGGCGCGGUAUGUCGUGCGUGAAAUCUCCCGGCUUAACUGGGAGGGCCGUGCGAAACUGCCGGGCUUGAGGUCGGAAGGGGAAAGUGGAAUUCCGGGUGUAGUGGUGGAAUACGUAGAUAUCCGGAGGAACACCAGCGGCGAAGGCGGCUUUCUGGUCCGAUACUGACGCUGAGGUGCGAAAGCGUGGGGAGCGAUCCGGAUUAGAUACCCGGGUAGUCCACGCCGUAAACGAUGAGUACUAGGUGUCGGGGGUAUCGACCCCCUCGGUGCCGUCGCUAACGCAUUAAGUACUCCGCCUGGGGACUACGGCCGCAAGGCUAAAACUCAAAGAAAUUGAC
rnacentral:rRNA from 1 species